UUUAUAUCAUAUUGGAAUCAAUCAUCUAACAAACAAACUGCUCGUUUUCGACAUAUACCUCCGUUACAACAAUGGUGAAUUGGAAAAUUGAUAAUGGCAAACUGAAUAUCCAAGGGAUUGAAGAUUUUGAAUAUGCUAAAAGCUCCUUGCAGUAUAAGAAGAUCGAGAAAUCUGAAGAAUGUAAACGGAAUGAGAAAACUAUGGCAGAAAAAGAUGUCAUGAUCAAGAACUUGGAGGAUUUCGGAGCUUGUGGAAACCGGAAAAGAACUGGUAUAAUGUAACAGUCCUAGAAAAAAACUAAAUCAGGUUACAAAGUCGUAUUUGCAGACGACAACAUAGUAAGAGUGUUAAGUCUACAGAAUCUACGAAAAAAGACAUCGAGAUGGAUUCAGCUGAAGGUGUUUUGUUGAACAAAACACUUUCAUAUAUAUAUGAACUUACAAGAAACUCACAAGUCAUCUGAUAAUGUUCUCAAAACAGGAUAUAAUAAACAAUAUCAACAACACAAGGAAGCUGUAUUUCCUUGUCCUUGAACAAAAGACAUUUCACAUCAGUCAAAUGAUCCUAUAUAUCUAUACAUGUAAACAAGAAUGAACAAGGUUAUAUAUAUUGUUUAAUUUAUAUUAGGACAUUAUCAUGAUAUCUUAAUGAUAAAAAAACAAACAUUCACAGAAUAAGCUUGUUUGGUCUGAAUGUGCUUGUAAUUUAAUAUGACAAACUGUAUGUAGAAUAAGAAGUAAUUAUCACACCAUCAAUGAGACAACACCAAUGACGAAAAUAAAUAGAUG